GUCUACGGCCAUGCCACCCUGAACAAGCCCGAUCUCAUUUGAUAUCCGAAGCUAAGCAGGGUCGGGCCUGGUUAAUACUUGGAUGGGAGACCACCUAGGAAGACAAGGUGCUAUAGGCA
rnacentral:rRNA from 1 species